CUGACCUCUCGCUGGUCCUUGAAGUACUGAUGUAGGAAAUCACAACACAAGUGGUGUUCUGCUGUGAGAGGAAGUCGGGUCUGGAGGUAUUGGAAAGGCUUGGGAGAUCAUUCAAACACACUGGAUAUGAGAACAGAAGCAUGUCAGCGUGGAAGAACUUUGAUCUUUAACCAAAUAGGACCAACUAGCUUUGUCCAGAGGAGAUCAAAGGGUGGAAGGUAAGAAGUGCUGAAAGCUGGCAAAGAAUCACCAAAAGGAGACACAAAAGAGAGAGUCCCAAUCAAGCUUAAUGACAGACACAGUCUAAAGCCCCGUGUUCCAGAUUUUUUCGAAAUGAAGCAGCCAACGAAAUCAAAACUGUGGACAAAAUUCCUUUGCUAAGAAGUGAAGAGGAUUUGGUUUUAGUCAAGAUGCGAAUGAGCUAACCUGUUCUCUGUGCUCCCGAAGGACAACUUCCAGCUCUGUUUCAGGGAAUUAGACCUAGUUUUCUUUGAGGAACCCUGGCUGAGCAUCAGCUGCUUAUCACACAUGACUGGAAGCGAUUGACCUAGUGUUAGCAGGAUGACCUGAGAUGAAAAAUUACAACAGAAACGCUUCUUUCUUGACAAAAUAUUCUCCUUCAAAUCCAAGUGUUGCCUGCUUUGUGAUGUCACAGUGAAAAGGCAUUGCACAAGU
rnacentral:lncRNA from 1 species